GCUUACGAGUUUGGUUAAAGAGAGACUGACAUGAGCAUAAAGGAAGGGACACUGAAAGAGGCAGAGAUGAAGGAAGAAAUUGUAACUUACUCCUUUUAUCCCACCCAUCAAAGGAAAGACAAGUUGACAAGUAUUGAUUCUGCAACAAACUGAGAAGAAACCUGGCGAUUCACCACAGAUAGCUGAGAAACCCUAAGUCUGGAUUCCAGCUAAAUGGGAGCAGACUAAAUAGAGCGGCAGUCGGCGAAAUACAUGUAACCCAUGAACAAAAUCCGGUCCAGCACCUGUGUUUUUUUUAUGGCCCACAAAUGAGUCUGUCUUUACAGAUGAAUGUUAAAACUGGUUUGACGAGAGAGGACACUCACUUUGAACCCCAACUAAGCAAAAUAUUAUCACCUUUCCCCUCAAAAAAGUUUUUGUUCUUCUCAUUAGUAAAUUUGUAUUUGUAUUAUGAC
rnacentral:lncRNA from 1 species